GGGUCUAUUGGAAUAUCCUUCUGGUUUGCAAGUAAAAGUAUUCCUUGUGAAUUAAGAAUGCUGAAGUCAGUCCAAAAGACCGUGAACCUUUCAUAAUUUGACUACACAACAACGAGCACAGAAGAAAAAUGACUGCCAACCAGUCACCUUUGAGAUUGAACAAUAAUCUGCAUCAAUAUACGAGGAGAUACAAUCAACUGCAGAAACAGGAGGUACACUGAUGUAGGUGUGGAAGUACUACACCACAUGCUUCUGCUUUACUAUUAUUCAUCCAUGUCAUUGUGGAAUACAAAA